rnacentral:rRNA from 1 species
AAUCAACGCUGGCGGCGUGCCUCAGACAUGCAAGUCGAACGCGAAAGUUUCCUUCGGGAAGCGAGUAGAGUGGCGCACGGGUGAGUAACACGUAGGUAAUGUACCUUUGGGUGGGGAAUAACUUAGGGAAACUUAAGCUAAUACCGCAUAAUGCAGCGGCUCGACAUCGAGACAGUUGUUAAAGCAUUUAUGCGCCUGAAGAGCAGCCUGCGGCAGAUUAGCUUGNGGUAAGGUAAUGGCUUACCAAGGCUACGAUCUGUAACCGACCUGAGAGGGUGGUCGGUCACACUGACACUGAAUAACGGGUCAGACUCCUACGGGAGGCAGCAGUCGGGAAUUUUGGGCAAUGGGCGAAAGCCUGACCCAGCAACGCCGCGUGAAGGAUGAAGUCUUUCGGG